GCCUCUUCGGCCAUCCGCCGCCGCUGCCGCGCGCGGCCUCUCUGCCAUCCGUCGCCCCGUUCUCCUUCCCCUCCCCAUCCGUCCCAAUCUUCUCUGGCGCCACAUGAAGCCUCCUCAACCUGCAACCUCCUGCCAUCGAGCCCUUCUAAUCUCACUGUACCAUGGACUUAACCGGAACGCCGUCCUGCUAGCCGUGCCCACUUGAGCGAGGAGAGAGUGGUGAGGCGGCUUAGUGAGGCUCAGGACGGUGUCUCGCAUGGCGUCUCGCAUUAUGCCUAAGCAGUGACCGCAUCCACGAUGAUAUUCAGUUCUUUGUCUCAUGUAAGAGUAUUAUGACAUAUGAGAUGCUUGAAUGAAGGGAUCCUUGAUUAAUUUGUCCACAAGUAGCCCAAGGAUUUGGGAGUUUAGGGUUUGUUAUGAGUAGUUAGCUGCCUGUGAUGUGUGCCCAAACAAAUUGUCAUGUAAAUCAUUAUGAACAUUUGAUUUUCUUGUGGCGCCAUCCAAGUGGGCGGAGGCAGCGGCUGCCACCACGGUGUCAUCCUUCUCCCACACCUUCGUCGCGGGACCGGAUUCACAAUGACGCCAUCGCAUCUAGCGACGACGCAAGCUCAUGUGGGUGCCGCAACUUCCGAGGACAUGGGAGUCUCCAUGGGCAGCGAGUACGUGAGCACACUCGCACACCACAGCUCUCAAGGAUGCGAGAGCCACCUCAGCCCGCGAGGACUCGUGAACCAUGCUCAGGUAUAACAGUUGCUCUUUAUGUAGCCUACUCACCCCGUCGUGAAGUUCCAGUCUGAUCUGUAGUAUUCUUUUGCUCUCCUAUUUUGAGGUUGGAUUGUAUGCAAUAACAGUUUGUGUAAA